UACGAAGGGGGCGAGCGUUGUUCGGAAUUACUGGGCGUAAAGGGCGCGUAGGCGGUGUGUCAAGUCAGGCGUGAAAGCCCCGGGCUCAACCUGGGAACGGCGCUUGAGACUGGCACGCUCGAGUCCGGGAGAGGUGGGUGGAACUGCGAGUGUAGAGGUGAAAUUCGUAGAUAUUCGCAAGAACACCAGUGGCGAAGGCGGCUCACUGGCCCGGUACUGACACUGAGGUGCGAAAGCGUGGGGAGCAAACAGG
rnacentral:rRNA from 1 species